UACGAAGGGGGCUAGCGUUGUUCGGAAUCACUGGGCGUAAAGGGCGCGUAGGCGGCUUUAUAAGUCGGGUGUGAAAUCUCGGGGCUUAACUCCGAAACUGCAUUCGAUACUGCGGUGCUUGAGGACUGGAGAGGAGACUGGAAUUCAUGGUGUAGCAGUGAAAUGCGUAGAGAUCAUGAGGAAGACCAGUGGCGAAGGCGGGUCUCUGGACAGUUCCUGACACUGAGACACGAAGGCCAGGGGAGCAAACGGG
rnacentral:rRNA from 1 species